GAAACGACAAAAGGAAAAAGACCCAGAACCCCCGUCCCCCGACCUGAUCCGCUCCCCCAGUGCGCCGCCGCGACCGCCCCUUUCACCAGCGCGCCGUCGCGGCCUCUCCCUACCCCAGCGCGCCGCCGGUGCCUCCCCCAGCACGCCGUCGCGGCCUCCCCUCUCCUCCAGUGCGCAGCCCUGUCCCCACCUUCUCCCUCGGCUCCGGCCGCUGCCCCACACGUUCUCCCUCGGCUCCGGCCGCCGCCCCCACCUUCUCCCUCGCCUCCGGCCGCAGCCCCCACCUUCUCCCUCGGCUCCGGCCGCAGCCCCCACCUUCUCCCUCGGAUCCGGCCACCGCCCCGCACUCCAAUCACAGAUCGAGUCGUCGCCGUUGCCUUACCCUAGAUCGCACCGCCCAAAACCAUCUGUCGCCACCACGGCCACCCGAACGACGUCCUCACGCGCCGCCGCUAUCUCUCCUUGCUCCGCCGCCAGCCAAGCACCUCCUCACCUCCAUUGUUGUUCAGCACUUCCUCCAGUUCAUCCCAUGGCGGCUGCGCUCGUGGCCGAGCUCACUCCAAUCCCUCCACCACGCUACCUCCUUCCGCUGGUGAGGCUUCGUCGCUGCAACGCCCUGGCCAUUCACUGUCGCCAUCCCGGGCCGUUCAAUGAGACAGCGCCAAGUCGUUCGACACCGCAACUCAGGAGUCUGCCUCCUUUGACAGCUCCUGAUCUCCGGAACAACUAUGGCUCCCUGCUGGCACAACUUGCUCUCGACGACCUCCUUUGACAGCUUGCCUCUGAGGCCUACCAGACCCACACGACGACGCUAGCCGUCCACAGCCACCACCACAGGCCGUUCAACCCACCACUCAUGGCCGUUCUCAAAACCAUCCCAAAGUGUAGAUCGUACAUGAGGACAGGGCCGAGGCGGAGGCAGCAAAGAAAGAGCUAAGCGAUCCAGUAGAGUUUAUUGAUUGAAGACCUAGCUAGUGUGAGCAUCAAAAUACAAAGCAUAGUACAUCAGGAAAAAGCCAUCGCCGCCUCCCUGCAGCGCCGCCUCCGUUCAGCGCGCCAGCCCCGCCUCCCCACACAUGGCUUGCGAAGAGUCGGCGGUGCCGCUGAAGACGACGGGGCAGUUCUACUUGUCCGUGAUGACCAGGACGACGUCACUAUCUGUGCUCGGCCAUAGCAUGGGGUUAGGCCGGAAUCCACCCCGUGACAGGUCAACGUCAGGGUCCACUGGGUUCCGUUCCUGAGAGAAGCAUCGCCGGCUGGGAGAGUUCAAUGAUCUGAACUAGGAAAGUUCAACGUGGAAAUUUGCUACAGAUUACAUUACUUGAGAAAUUUUCGUGUGUUUCACGUCAUCGUUGGCCCCAUGUUCGCUGGCAAGACCACGGCGCUACUCCACCGGCACUGGCAGUACGAGUUUCAAAGGCCAGGAAGUUCUACUGUUGGCAUACGCCAACUGAGCAUCGGUCGAAGAAGCCAAGGCACCUCGUGCUAGCUCUAGGCACCGCCAGAGGCCGUAACUGUUCUUCCACCGCUCCUGUGCACUCACCGUUGAGCCUCUCCAUGCACAGCUCUGGCAGCCCAACGUCACAACACAUAGUGGCCGGUGGUCCCUCCUCUCAGCUGCUCUAUGGCUUGCAGAGGCGUGAGAUUGCUAGAAGUUCAACAUGCGAAACCGUGCAUGUCCAUGCUCCUGCACCUCCAGGCAAACUCCAGUGAAGGUGUGACCAGUUUGGCCAUGGAUGAUCAACCAUUUGAGGAAAAUGGUACAGAUAUGUGAGAAAAAGAGAGAGCUUUCAUGGAGAAACAAAGAAGAUGUUGAUGAAUCAUUCAUGUGUCCAAGAGGGAGGUACAUGUUUUCUUUCCUGUACGUAUCUCCCAAACGUACAUUAGCUAGAGUGAGUGUUGGGAGAAAAUAAAUAAGUAUUCAGCCUUGUUUGACAAAGUGCAAGAACAAUGUUCUUUCAUUUGUGUUGAUGUAGUGUCCUUGAUUUUGUCUUGUCUUUUCAUCCUUGUUUGACAGAAUUGAAAGUUAAUCACAGGAAGGUAAGCAUCAGCAAUGAUGCCAGCAGCGGCCAGGAAUAAUGCCUCCAAUGCGCAAGCCCAGGAUGACGAUGCUGAUCACUAGCAGGAAGGACACCUGCAGGUUGAGGAUGAAGUACACAACGCAGGCAAUGAGGACGAACAAAACAUGGAAUCCGUACACAUAGCAGCAACUGCAAGUUCAAAUUUUCUGUGUAUGAUCCAGUUUCAAAAAAAAAAAAAAUUCUGUGUAUGAUGAUAUGAUUGCUACUUCUCAAAAGAAAGUGUACAUGAUAGUUCAGUACGAAUGAAAACAAAACGAUCAGUUCGAUAGUGCUCUCUCCUGCCUAUUUUGGUUGAUGUCCAUAAUGGACAAAAAAUUGUAUGAGAAUGUUCAAUUAGUACUGGCAUAUAAGUUUAAAAAAUAAAACACAGUUGGUCUGCCUGUGGAAUUUGAGAAA